rnacentral:rRNA from 1 species
ACUCGCCUGCAUGAAGUCGGAAUUGCUAGUAAUCGCAGAUCAGCAUGCUGCGGUGAAUACGUUCCCGGGCCUUGUACACACCGCCCGUCACACCAUGGGAGUCGGUAACACCCGAAGUCAGGAGCCUGACCUUUUUAGGAGGGCACUGCCGAAGGUGGGAUUGAUGACUGGGGUGAAGUCGUAACAAGGUAAC